GCGUAAGCGCACGCAGGCGGUCUGUCAAGUCGGAUGUGAAAUCCCCGGGCUCAACCUGGGAACUGCAUUCGAAACUGGCAGGCUAGAGUCUUGUAGAGGGGGGUAGAAUUCCAGGUGUAGCGGUGAAAUGCGUAGAGAUCUGGAGGAAUACCGGUGGCGAAGGCGGCCCCCUGGACAAAUACUGACGCUCAGGUGCGAAAGCGUGGGGAGCAAACAGGAUUAAAUACCCUGGUAGUCCACCCCCUACACAAUCUCUAUUUGUAGGUUGUGC
rnacentral:rRNA from 1 species